rnacentral:rRNA from 1 species
AGUGAACGCUGGCGGUAGGCCUAACACAUGCAAGUCGAACGGCAGCACAGUAAGAGCUUGCUCUUACGGGUGGCGAGUGGCGGACGGUGAGGAAUACAUCGGAAUCUACUUUUUCGUGGGGGAUAACGUAGGGAAACUUACGCUAAUACCGCAUACGACCUACGGGUGAAAGCAGGGGAACUUCGGACCUUGCGCGAUUGAAUGAGCCGAUGUCGGAUUAGCUAGUUGGCGGGGUAAAGGCCCACCAAGGCGACGAUCCGUAGCUGGUCUGAGAGGAUGAUCAGCCACACUGGAACUGAGACACGGUCCAGACUCCUACGGGAGGCAGCAGUGGGGAAUAUUGGACAAUGGGCGCAAGCCUGAUCCAGCCAUACCGCGUGGGUGAAGAAGGCCUUCGGGUUGUAAAGCCCUUUUGUUGGGAAAGAAAAGCAGCAGGUUAAUACCCCGCUGUUCUGACGGUACCCAAAGAAUAAGCACCGGCUAACUUCGUG